CUGCGUCAGGUCUUAGUGAUUCCCUGUUGCCCUCUGUGCUGGCUCUGGAGUGGACGACGGUGAAUUGCAUUCCAUACCCUUGUGAACCUUUGGGCCCUUGCAAGCUUCGGAAGGCAGACAAUUCUACAUUUGACUCGCCGUAAUGAGGUCUUGAUGCGCACACACCCUACCCAAUGCAUUACCGGACGGAUCUCUUGGCUCUCCACUCGAUGAAGAACGCCCUUCAAUGCGAUAAGUAAUGUGAAUUGCGUUCUUCAGUCAAUCAUUCAAUCUAUGAACGCACCUUGCUCCCUUUUCGAAUUUCACUGGGAUGUUCGUUUGAGUGACAGUCUACACACCCACUUCCGAACUUUCUUUGGGAGCGGUUGAGCUGGGUUUGCUGCCUUUACAUGGCUUACCUCAAAUGGGUUCCUUCUGCCCUCGGUUGGACAUAGAACCCCAUGUUUUUUAAGGGUGCUGGCGCCCCACCCCAUCCAAGGGUGGUCGCACAGGAUGUUGUGAUCGCAACCGUUUUAUCACAAUCUUUCACUCCUUGAGCUCCCCUACGGGAAACCAUUGCCCGACUAUUUUCUUCCCUCUAAAUAACCCGGAGGGAAAAAUCU
rnacentral:sRNA from 1 species